rnacentral:rRNA from 1 species
GACGAACGCUGGCGGCGUGCUUAACACAUGCAAGUCGAACGGUGAUGAGGAGCUUGCUUUUCUGAUCAGUGGCGAACGGGUGAGUAACACGUGAGCAACCUACCCUUGACUCUGGGAUAACAGUUGGAAACAGCUGCUAAUACCGGAUAUGAACCUCUUAGGCAUCUGGGAGGUUGGAAAGCUCCGACGGUCAAGGAUGGGCUCGCGGCCUAUCAGCUUGUUGGUGAGGUAAUGGCUUACCAAGGCGACGACGGGUAGCCGGCCUGAGAGGGCGACCGGCCACACUGGGACUGAGAUACGGCCCAGACUCCUACGGGAGGCAGCAGUGGGGAAUAUUGCGCAAUGGGCGAAAGCCUGACGCAGCAACGCCGCGUGCGGGAUGACGGCC